AACGAACGCUGGCGGCAGGCUUAACACAUGCAAGUCGAGCGCCCCGCAGGGGGAGCGGCAGACGGGUGAGUAACGCGUGGGAAUCUACCCAUCUCUACGGAAUAACGCAUGGAAACGUGUGCUAAUACCGUAUACGUCCUUCGGGAGAAAGAUUUAUCGGAGAUGGAUGAGCCCGCGUUGGAUUAGCUAGUUGGUGGGGUAAAGGCCUACCAAGGCGACGAUCCAUAGCUGGUCUGAGAGGAUGAUCAGCCACACUGGGACUGAGACACGGCCCAGACUCCUACGGGAGGCAGCAGUGGGGAAUAUUGGACAAUGGGCGCAAGCCCGAUCCAGCCAUGCCGCGUGAGUGAUGAAGGCCCUAGGGUUGUAAAGCUCUUUCACCGGUGAAGAUAAUGACGGUAACCGGAGAAGAAGCCCCGGCUAACUUCGUGCCAGCAGCCGCCGUAACAC
rnacentral:rRNA from 1 species